UAAGAAGAAGAAAAAAGA
rnacentral:sRNA from 1 species